CCUACGGGAGACAGCAGUGGGGAAUUUUGGACAAUGGGGGCAACCCUGAUCCAGCAAUGCCGCGUGAGUGAAGAAGGCCUUCGGGUUGUAAAGCUCUUUUGUCAGGGAAGAAACACCGGCUCUAACACAGUCCGGGAAUGACGGUACCUGAAGAAUAAGCACCGGCUAACUACGUGCCAGCAGCCGCGGUAAUACGUAGGGUGCGAGCGUUAAUCGGAAUUACUGGGCGUAAAGCGUGCGCAGGCGGUCAUACAAGACAGGCGUGAAAUCCCCGGGCUUAACCUGGGAAUGGCGCCUGUGACUGUAUAGCUAGAGUGUGUCAGAGGGGGGUAGAAUUCCACGUGUAGCAGUGAAAUGCGUAGAUAUGUGGAGGAAUACCAAUGGCGAAGGCAGCCCCCUGGGAUAACACUGACGCUCAUGCACGAAAGCGUGGGGAGCAAACAGGAUUAGAUACCCUGGUAGUCCACGCCCUAAACGAUGCUGACUAGUUGUUCGGGAUUUACAUCCUGAGUAACGUAGCUAACGCGUGAAGUCAGCCGCCUGGGGAAGUACGGUCGCAAGAUUAAAAACGUCAAAAGAGUAAGUUAGGAACCGUGUAGACGACGUCGACGAACGGCACCGAGGAGGGUUAG
rnacentral:rRNA from 1 species